GACAGAGGGUGCUAGCGUUGUUCGGAAUUACUGGGCGUAAAGGGCGCGUAGGCGGCUUGAUAAGUCAGGUGUGAAAUCCCGGGGCUUAACCCCGGAACUGCACUUGAUACUGUUGGGCUAGAGACCGGAAGAGGUGGGUGGAAUACCCAGUGUAGAGGUGAAAUUCGUAGAUAUUGGGUGGAACACCGGUGGCGAAGGCGGCUCACUGGUCCGGUUCUGACGCUGAGGCGCGAAAGCGUGGGGAGCAAACAGGAUUAGAUACCCUGGUAGUCCACGCCCUAAACGAUGUGUGCUAGAUGUCGGGGGACAUGUCUCUCGGUGUCGGAGUUAACGUUUUAAGCACACCGCCUGGGGAGUACGGCCGCAAGGUUAAA
rnacentral:rRNA from 1 species